GAUUAACGCUGGCGGCGUGCAUAACACAUGCAAGUCGAACGAAGUGGCGGACGGGUGAGUAACGCGUGAGUAACCUGCCUUAGAGAAGGGGAUAGCCUUUGGAAACGAAGAAUAAUACCCUAUGCUCUAAGAGGGACUUGCGUCUGAUUAGUUAGUUGGUGGGGUAAAGGCCCAACAAGACAGCGUUCCGUAGCCGGCGUGGGAGAGUGGAAGGCAACAUUGGGACUGAGAAACGGCCCAGACUCUACGGGAGGCAGCAGGGGGGAAUGUGGCACAAUGGGGGAAACCCGGAUGCAGCGAAGCCGCGGGAUUUAGAAGGCCGUCGGGGGGUAAAAAUCUUUUCUAUGGGAAGCAGUACCAUAGGAAUAAGGACCGGCUAAUUACGUGCCAGCAGCCGCGGUAAUAC
rnacentral:rRNA from 1 species